AGGAUAAUAGUUAAAUAUAACAUUUAAUUUGCAUUUAAAAAGUAUUGAUUUUUCAAUUUAUCUUU
rnacentral:tRNA from 1 species